rnacentral:rRNA from 1 species
AUACGUAGGUGGCAAGCGUUGUCCGGAAUUAUUGGGCGUAAAGCGCGCGCAGGCGGUCCUUUAAGUCUGAUGUGAAAGCCCACGGCUCAACCGUGGAGGGUCAUUGGAAACUGGAGGACUUGAGUGCAGAAGAGGAAAGUGGAAUUCCAAGUGUAGCGGUGAAAUGGGUAGAGAUUUGGAGGAACACCAGUGGCGAAGGCGACUUUCUGGUCUGUAACUGACGCUGAGGCGCGAAAGCGUGGGGAGCAAACAGGAUUAGAUACCCUGGUAGUCCACGCCGUAAACGAUGAGUGCUAAGUGUUAGGGGGUUUCCGCCCCUUAGUGCUGCAGCUAACGCAUUAAGCACUCCGCCUGGGGAGUACGGUCGCAAGACUGAAACUCAAAUGAAUUGACGGGG